GACGAACGCUGGCGGCGUGCCUAAUACAUGCAAGUAGAACGCUGAAGAGAGGAGCUUGCUCUUCUUGGAUGAGUUGCGAACGGGUGAGUAACGCGUAGGUAACCUGCCUUGUAGCGGGGGAUAACUAUUGGAAACGAUAGCUAAUACCGCAUAACAAUGGAUGACAAAUGUCAUUUAUUUGAAAGGGGCAAUUGCUCCACUACAAGAUGGACCUGCGUUGUAUUAGCUAGUAGGUGAGGUAAUGGCUCACCUAGGCGACGAUACAUAGCCGACCUGAGAGGGUGAUCGGCCACACUGGGACUGAGACACGGCCCAGACUCCUACGGGAGGCAGCAGUAGGGAAUCUUCGGCAAUGGGGGCAACCCUGACCGAGCAACGCCGCGUGAGUGAAGAAGGUUUUCGGAUCGUAAAGCUCUGUUGUAAGUCAAGAACGGGUGUGAGAGUGGAAAGUUCACACUGUGACGGUAGCUUACCAGAAAGGGACGGCUAACUACGUG
rnacentral:rRNA from 1 species